rnacentral:lncRNA from 1 species
AUGUAACACAGCUGAAUUAUGGAGGGGCAAGAAGCUUGUGCCACGAUAGCCUGCUAAUACUGGAUGAAGGUGUCUGCUACAGACUUUUAGUUGGAUUAAAAGAAGCUCAGAGAGAACAAGUGACUCUCUUAAGGACUCACAGCUAGUGGGAGAGGUGCUGGGAUUUGAACUCAGACAGCCUGACCCUAACACCAGGGUUAACUGCAUCAUUUCUCAUCUCAGCCAUAAGUGUCCCUCCGCCGUGCUAUCCUGCCUUGGAGCCAGCUGACAAUGGACUGAAACCUCUACAAACUAUGGGGUCUUGCUAUGUCACCCAGGAUGGUCUCAAAUUCCUCGGUUCAAGUGAUCUUCCUGCCCAAGUCUCCGAGUAGCUGGAAUGACAGUCAUAUAAAGAUACAAGAAGAAGAUGGCUGUCUGCAAAUCAGGAAGACUGACCUCACCAGACAUUGGAUCUGCUGGUUGUACCUGGAUCUUGAACUUCCCAACCUUCAUAUAAUUUGUACAUCUCUAGAACAAUACUUAACAGAACUCAGACUUUCAGCCUCCAUUCACAGCCUCUAAAAUCUCUGCUGGAAAUUUUUUUGAUGGUCAACAUUUUGUGUGCACAGUGACAUCAGAUUGUGAAGGUUCUACUAACGAGCUGUGG